CUGUUACUGGAUGAAUUAUCAAUACAUUUCUCCCAAAAAUAGAAACCUGAAAGGGUCUCAGUUAAAUAUGUACAGUGCCAAAUGUAGGGUGUCCCGCAGC